GAUGAACGCUGGCGGCGUGCCUAAUACAUGCAAGUCGAGCGAACAGACGAGGAGCUUGCUCCUCUGACGUUAGCGGCGGACGGGUGAGUAACACGUGGAUAACCUACCUAUAAGACUGGGAUAACUUCGGGAAACCGGAGCUAAUACCGGAUAACAUGUUGAACCGCAUGGUUCAACAGUGAAAGACGGUCUUGCUGUCACUUAUAGAUGGAUCCGCGCCGCAUUAGCUAGUUGGUAAGGUAACGGCUUACCAAGGCAACGAUGCGUAGCCGACCUGAGAGGGUGAUCGGCCACACUGGAACUGAGACACGGUCCAGACUCCUACGGGAGGCAGCAGUAGGGAAUCUUCCGCAAUGGGCGAAAGCCUGACGGAGCAACGCCGCGUGAGUGAAGAAGGUCUUCGGAUCGUAAAACUCUGUUAUUAGGGAAGAACAAAUGUUUAAGUAACUAUGCACGUCUUGACGGUACCUAAUCAGAAAGCCACGGCUAACUACGUG
rnacentral:rRNA from 1 species